AUAACGGUCCUAAGGUAGCGAAAUUCCUUGUCGGGUAAGUUCCGACGCGCAUGAAUGGCGUAACGACUGGCACACUGUCUCAACUACCAACUCGGUGAAAUAGAAGACGCGGUGAAGAUACCGUGUACCCGCAGCAAGACGGAAAGACCCCGUGCACCUUUACUGUAGGCUGAUAUUGGCCAAGAUUUUAUACCGCGUAGGAUAGGUGGGAGGCUUUGAAGCA
rnacentral:rRNA from 1 species